GACGAACCGUGCGAACGUUGUUCGGAAUCACUGGGCUUAAAGGGCGCGUAGGCGGCUCGCGAGGUCGGGGGUGAAAGCCCGCAGCUUAACUGCGGAAGGGCCUUCGAUACCGGCGGGCUGGAGGAAGGUAGGGGUGCGCGGAACUUCUGGUGGAGCGGUGAAAUGCGUUGAUAUCAGAAGGAACGCCGGCGGCGAAAGCGGCGCACUGGACCUUUGCUGACGCUGAGGCGCGAAAGCCAGGGGAGCAAACGGG
rnacentral:rRNA from 1 species